UGGAGGUCACGCCUUUUAUCGAGGACACUUUUCCUAUCGGUAUAUAAUAGCUGAAUUCUCUUGUUGAAGACAUCACCUACCGACCCGUGUCCAGAAUCCCCAGAGAUGUCGGGUCUUUCAGUGGUGUUCUGAAGGUCAGGCGUAUGAGGAGAAACGCUGGUGUGAACUGCCACGACGCGGAGUGCACAUGUUGUAAGUCGAACUACACGGGCCCUUACUGCCAGGUGCCCUGCCCCAACUGUAGGACGAGGUAAAUAUCGGGAGAUUGCAACAGGUACUGCGAAGCUGGUUUCUAUGGUGCGACCUGUGACGAGACAUGUUCAACAAACUGCGCACCAGUGGAGGACAACACGGGGCAACAUAUUCGUGAAGCCACGGGUGCAUACAACGCCAACUGCAGUCCGGGAUAUUUUGGAGAAAUGUGCAACAAAACUUGUCCCCCAGAUUGUAAGAAUCACAUUUGCCUUCAAGGAGAUGGCACAUGUGUAGAAUGCAAUGAUAAAGACUAUGGGGUAUCAUGUAAUAAGAAGUGUCAUGGUUGUAAGGAAAGUUGUUUCAGAAGUGGGAGAUGCAAGCAAGGAUGCAUUGAUGGUUAUUACGGCACAAUGUGUAAUCUCAGAUGUGGAAAUGAUUGCACUGAAGGAGGCAAGUGUCAAAUGUAUGAAGAAGGCCAACAAAGGAUAUGCACUGACGGUUGUCAGUACAUCACAGCGUCACAUAGCGUCAUCUACAACUGUGUAGCUGCUGCAUCGUCAGACCCAAAUAGUUCAAAUGCUGAAGCGAUUGCCCCUGCCGUUGUGGUACCAGUCAGCCUGGUCAUCGUCGUUCUUGUGAUUCUGUUGUGAGU